UAACGAAUCUUCCGCAAUGCACGAAAGUGUGACGGAGCGACGCCGCGUGUGGGAUGAAGUUCUUCGGAAUGUAAACCACUGUCAGGGGUUAGAAAGUUCUGAUCAACCCCAGAGGAAGGCACGGCUAACUCUGUGCCAGCAGCCGCGGUAAGACAGAGGUGCCAAGCGUUAGGCGGAAUCACUGGGCUUAAAGCGUGUGUAGGCGGAUGUCUAAGUACCUUGUGAAAUCCCACGGCUCAACCGUGGAACUGCUUGGUAUACUGGAUGUCUUGAGCCAGCUAGGGGCAACCGGAACAAAUGGUGGAGCGGUGAAAUGCGUAGAUAUCAUUUGGAACGCCAAUGGUGAAAACAGGUUGCUGGGGCUGUGCUGACGCUGAGACACGAAAGCCAGGGGAGCGAACGGG
rnacentral:rRNA from 1 species